rnacentral:tRNA from 1 species
AGGGACAUUGCUCAGUGGCAGAGCACUUGCCUAGCAUGCAUGAGACCCUGGGUCCAAUUCCCAAUUCCUUA